rnacentral:rRNA from 1 species
AUUGAACGCUGGCGGCAUGCCUUACACAUGCCAGUCGAACGGUAACAGGUUAAGCUGACGAGUGGCGAACGGGUGAGUAAUGUAUCGGAACGUGCCCAGUCGUGGGGGAUAACUGCUCGAAAGAGCAGCUAAUACCGCAUACGACCUGAGGGUGAAAGCGGGGGAUCGCAAGACCUCGCGCGAUUGGAGCGGCCGAUAUCUGAUUAGGUAGUUGGUGAGGUAAAGGCUCACCAAGCCGACGAUCUGUAGCUGGUCUGAGAGGACGACCAGCCACACUGGGACUGAGACACGGCCCAGACUCCUACGGGAGGCAGCAGUGGGGAAUUUUGGACAAUGGGCGCAAGCCUGAUCCAGCCAUGCCGCGUGCGGGAAGAAGGCCUUCGGGUUGUAAACCGCUUUUGUCAGGGAAGAAAAGGUUCUGGCUAAUACCUGGGACUCAUGACGGUACCUGAAGAAUAAGCACCGGCUAACUACGUG